rnacentral:rRNA from 1 species
UACAGAGGUCUCAAGCGUUGUUCGGAUUCAUUGGGCGUAAAGGGUGCGUAGGCGGCGCGGUAAGUCACCUGUGAAAUCUCCUGGCUCAACUGGGAGCUUGCAGGCGAAACUGCCGUGCUGGAGUGUGGGAGAGGUGCGUGGAAUUCCUGGUGUAGCGGUGAAAUGCGUAGAUAUCAGGAGGAACACCUGUGGCGAAAGCGGCGCACUGGACCACAACUGACGCUGAGGCGCGAAAGCAUGGGGAGCGAACAGG